UACGUAGGGGGCAAGCGUUGUCCGGAAUCAUUGGGCGUAAAGAGCGUGUAGGCGGCCCGGUAAGUCUGUUGUGAAAGUCCAGGGCUCAACCCUGGAAUGCCGAUGGAUACUGCCGGGCUAGAGUUCGGAAGAGGCGAGUGGAAUUCCUGGUGUAGCGGUGGAAUGCGCAGAUAUCAGGAGGAACACCUAUAGCGAGGGCAGCUCGCUGGGACGACACUGACGCUGAGACGCGAAAGCGUGGGGAGCGAACAGG
rnacentral:rRNA from 1 species